GGGAGAAGGACGUGGCUGCUAUCGAUGUGAACAUGGGAUGUCCUAAAGAAUACUCCACGAAGGGCGGGAUGGGAGCUGCUCUUCUGUCAGAUCCCGACAAGAUCGAGGCGAUCCUCAAGAAGCUCGUCACAGGAGUGUCCAUCCCGGUCACCUGUAAAAUCAGAAUCCUGCCUUCGGUAAGAUG